GGCAGGCCAUGGGAGACAAAAUAGUUGAAAAGUCAAAAUUAGACAAAAUAGUUUUAUUAUUAACAAAUAAUAAAAAAAAGAAAAAGAAAAAGCUAUCAUUUUUCUAUUCCCCUCCACCGAAAUAUGCAGCAAAGAAAGGGUUUUGAAGCUGGAAAAUUUCAGCAACAUAUUUCCCUUGCUUGUAAGUGAUUUUAAUGUCUUUACUUGAUGAUUUUUGUAUUUUUGGAACCCCUAAAGCAUAAGCUUUCAUAAGAGGGGAUUAUUUUGCAAAAUGAUGAAGAGUCUAAGGUUUUACCAUGAGAGUAAAUGUGUUGUUUGCUGUGUUUUUAUGGAAGAUUAUGAGUCCUAGUUGUCUAAUAAAUAACUUUUGUGAAAUAAAUUGCAUGAAAAUACCUUAAAAGGGGGUAAAUUGCUAAGUUGUAAAAUGAGUUGUAAAUGUGUAAAAUAGUUGAAAUUAUGAGUUGCUAUAGUUAUGAAAAUGGUUCAUCUAGACUCAAGGAGUACAGUAAUGUGAUAAAAAUUAAUUUACGAGCAUUGGGGUAAAAGUGAAAAUAUGUAAAAGUUUAGGGGUCAAAAUAAAAAUUUGUAAAAAUAUGAUUUUUAGACCCAUAUGAAUAUUGUGACUGAUUGGUAGGCUAAAUGUGAUGUUAUAGAUGAUGAAAAUUGAGAUUUGGACCUAGAACGGAAAGAAAUCGAUUUAUGGACGAGUAUGUCUUUUCACCUUUGUGGUAUCGAGGUAAGUUCAUGUGUAAAUAAUGUAGCAUAAUUGUUAUUUUUAAGUUAUUGAUGUUAAAUAUAUGAUAUGCUGAUUUUUAUCAUGAAAUAUAUGCUUUGUGAUUAUUUUCGAAUAAAAUGCAAGUUAUGUGUAUUAUCUGUUAAAUAUAAAGUGCUACCAAGUAUUGGUUUCGGUAUUUUACGGAAGAUGACAAGGAUAUGUGUUCGAGGAAAAUCCCGUUUGAACCUUAGGAAUAGAUUAGGAUACAAGUGACAUGUCACUAGGAUGGUUGAGCAUCCGAACUCGUUGAGUUGAGUCCGAGUUCACUUAUGGAUGCGAAUGUUCGAACUCGUUGAGUUGAGUCUGAGUUCGUAAGAUGUAACUAGGCAUCCGAGCUCGUUGAGUUGAGUCCGAGUUCACUUAUGGAUAAGAACGCCCGAGCUCAUUGAGUUGAGUCUGAGUUCACUUAUGGGCGGGUUACAUGGUAGCUUGGCUACUUAUGUGGCACUUAUGUGCAAACUUUCCAUGUAUCCGAAUUAUAUUCCGAUGUGUUCAACGGGUAAAAUUCUACUCAAAUGGUGAAAUACUCGAGAUGAAAGGGACGUAUUGGUAAAUGUUGUGAAAUGGAUACUUUGAACAGGUAUGUACUUAACCCUUGGGUUGAAAACUCGACAUAACAACAAUAUGGUAAAAUGGUAAAUGAAAAUGUGAUAUGAAUGUCUCGGUGAUGAUUAUACAAACGAUGUUGUAUUAAUUUUGUGAACAAUGAUCAUAAAUGAGUAAUUUAGCCUUGACAGAUUUGAGUUACUGCAGUAGUGUAACUUUGAAAAUACACUAAAAAUAGUGGAAGAUGAGUUAGAGGCAGAAUAAUAUAUGGGAUUAAAGCUCAAUGAGUCUAUUUUCACAUGAAAGAAAUAGGGGAGGAAAAAGAAUUCCAUAUUGUGUGAUAUUUGAAUUCUUGUGAAAUAGGGUCUGAAUGAAUUCGAGAUCCCCUGUCCUAACUUUAGAAAUUCACCAAAAAUUGUAAAAAAAUUAUUAAGAGUUAUAUCUUACAUGCAUAGAUUCCUUAUUAAGUCUAUUUUUAUGGAAAAUAAACGGCAUAGUCGUUGGAAUUUUUUACAGGGAGAAAUUCGGUUUGUAGUGCACAGGGGUCAUAGUGGUCAUACCCUAAAAUAGGGGAGACUUUAACUAAUAAACUGUACUAUUUGGCUUAACCAAAAAUUCUGGAAAUUUUAUGGAAGAAAGGAAAAUAAGACUAGUUUCAGGGAAAAUUAACGGAACUUAAUUCGGAGUUUCGUAGCUCCAGAUAUAAAUAAUUUAGUGACUGUUGCUCAGGAAGACAGCUUGUAGUGAACUUGAGAAUAUGUUGUAAACAUUGAUAAAACAAGUUAAUGAGUUGCUUAUUGUUUUCAUAUGAACUUACUAAGCGAAAGCUUACCCCCCUUCUUUCCCAUGUUUUUUAGAGUUUCCAGGUUAGCUCGGGUUGGAGGCCGUCAGAGAUAUUAUCACCCUAUCGAGUUAACGUUAUCGGAGUAAGUAAAUUCAAGUGAUUCGAGUCUAUGGCAUGUAUAGGGUUUUAAUGUGAGUAUGUAAUAUUAUGAUUUAGCCAAAGGCAUUGGCUUGUUAUUAAGGUAGUAUUAGUUAUGUAAAUUGGCCUAUGUCGUCUAAUAUCGUUAUGGGCCCAUAUGAUUAUUCUUAUGCAUUUAUGUUAUUAUUUCUUGUGAUGUGGCUUACAACAUGUAUGCCUAGAGAUUGAAUUGAGAUUCAUUGAUGAGCUAGUAACUAAUGCAGGAUUAAGUUAUUGGUAAAUAGUUAAUAAUGCUUCAUGAAUGGUUUGUGAUGUAAUGAUAGUUAUGUCUAGUAUGUGGUAAUGAUAUGGGAAAAUUCUAUAAUAUUUAUUGCAUAAGAAAAUAACUUGAGCAUAACAUGUUUGUAGAUGUUUAAGAGCUCAUUUAUGUCACGUUGUAUGUUUUUGGAUAAGUAUGUAUCUAUGCAUAUGGUGUGAGAGUGAUAAAAGGCCUAUUAAUUAGCCUAUUUCUGGCCACACGGCCUGAGCACAUGGGCGUGUGAAGCCUUAACGCAAGAGAUUCUUUUUAAGUUUUUUCAUGAGUUCUCGAUUGGGUCUCGAACCACUCUAGAUGUAUGUUUUGGGCCUCGUAAGCCCGUAUAUGGGACAGAUUGUAUGUGAAAAGAAAAGUUUUUAACUAUUUGAGAUUUCAUGGCCCUGUUUAGUAUGAAAGUGUUAGUAAAAGUCAAG
rnacentral:lncRNA from 1 species